CUCAGAUUGAACGCUGGCGGCAGGCCUAACACAUGCAAGUCGAGCGGCAGCGGAAAGUAGCUUGCUACUUUGCCGGCGAGCGGCGGACGGGUGAGUAAUGUCUGGGGAUCUGCCUGAUGGAGGGGGAUAACUACUGGAAACGGUAGCUAAUACCGCAUAACGUCGCAAGACCAAAGCGGGGGACCUUCGGGCCUCGCGCCAUCAGAUGAACCCAGAUGGGAUUAGCUAGUAGGUGGGGUAACGGCUCACCUAGGCGACGAUCCCUAGCUGGUCUGAGAGGAUGACCAGCCACACUGGAACUGAGACACGGUCCAGACUCCUACGGGAGGCAGCAGUGGGGAAUAUUGCACAAUGGGCGCAAGCCUGAUGCAGCCAUGCCGCGUGUAUGAAGAAGGCCUUCGGGUUGUAAAGUACUUUCAGCGAGGAGGAAGGCAGUAAGGUUAAUAACCUUACUGAUUGACGUUACUCGCAGAAGAAGCACCGGCUAACUCCGUGCCAGCAGCCGCGGUAAUACGGAGGGUGCAAGCGUUAAUCGGAAUUACUGGGCGUAAAGCGCACGCAGGCGGUUUGUUAAGUCAGAUGUGAAAUCCCCGAGCUUAACUUGGGAACUGCAUUUGAAACUGGCAAGCUAGAGUCUUGUAGAGGGGGGUAGAAUUCCAGGUGUAGCGGUGAAAUGCGUAGAGAUCUGGAGGAAUACCGGUGGCGAAGGCGGCCCCCUGGACAAAGACUGACGNUCAGGUG
rnacentral:rRNA from 1 species